rnacentral:rRNA from 1 species
GACGAACGCUGGCGGCGUGCUUAACACAUGCAAGUCGAACGGAAAGGCCUCUUUCGGGGGGUACUCGAGUGGCGAACUGGUGAGUAACACGUGAGUAACCUGCCCUUUACUUUGGGAUAACUUCAGGAAACUGGGGCUAAUACCGGAUAGGAGCUCCUGCUGCAUGGUGGGGGUUGGAAAGUUUCGGCGGUUGGGGAUGGACUCGCGGCUUAUCAGCUUGUUGGUGGGGUAGUGGCUUACCAAGGCUUUGACGGGUAGCCGGCCUGAGAGGGUGACCGGCCACAUUGGGACUGAGAUACGGCCCAGACUCCUACGGGAGGCAGCAGGGGGGAAUAUUGCACAAUGGGUGGAAGCCUGAUGCAGCAACGCCGUGUGCGGGAUGACGGCCUUCGGGUUGUAAACCGCUUUCGCUCAUGACGAAGCUUUGUGUGACGGUAGUGGGUAAAGAAGCACCGGCUAACUACGUG